AGCUACCUUGCCCUGACGCAGAGAUCAUCAGUAAAGGUCCAUGCCUGGCCUACUCCCAGAAAUGUUCCCUGAUUAGAGCUGUAACUAUGGAAGAAAUUCGGGCUGCUCUAAAGGUGAUGCCAGCUGAGAAGUCCCCUGGAGUUGAUGGUUACCCAGUAGAGUUCUUCACUCAACAGUGGGACGUGAUAAAAGUCGAUGUGAGGAAUGCAGUGGCUGAAUUCUUCUCAUCUGGUAAACUACUUAAAACCUUCAGUUGCACAUCCCUUACCUUGGCUCCAAAGGUUAAAGUCCCAACCUAUGUGAAAGAUUAUAGACCCAUCGCUUGUUGUACCACAUUCGAUAAACUAAUCACAAAGAUCCUUACCAACCGUAUUAAAAGUGUGAUUAAUACAAUUAUUAGUCCCUCAUAAACUGCUUUUAUAGAGGGAAGGAGCUUAAUCGACAAUAUAUUGUUUAGUCAUGAACUUUUAAAAUGGUACUGUAGGAAAGGACUCUCGCCAAAAUGUGUGAUGAAAGUGGAUUUACGCAAAUCCUAUGACUCAAGUGGGAAUUCCUAAAGAAUAUGCUUGCAAAUCUUGGUUUCCCAUUCAAAUUCAUUCAAUGGAUUAUGGAGUGUGUCACUUCAGUGUCGUAUUCUCUAGUCAUUAAUGGAAGUCUUACCAAACCAUUUCAAGGGAAAAGAGGCAUACGACCGGGUGACCCAAGGUCACCAUAUCUUUUUGUGAUCGCAAUGGAGUACCUUCAAAGAGAACUUAAUGUGGUAGCUGCUCAUCCUAUGUUUAAGUGCCACCCUUGAUGCAGGUAGUUGGGGAUUAUGCAUAUAUGUUUUGGCGAUGAUCUACUGAUGUUCUGUAAGGCAGAUGUUCUCUCGGUAAAGUUGAUGUUUGAUGCCUUCUCUAAGUUCUCCAAAGUGACAGGUCUACAGGCAAAUACAGAGAAAAGCUCCAUAUACAUGAGUGGAGUUGAAGAUCAGGAGAAGCAAGCAAUUUUGAGAGAGCUGGGUUUUGUUGAGGCUCCUUACCAUUCCGAUAUCUAGGUGUGCCCAUAUCCUCAAAAAAACUAACAGUGGAGCAAUGCAUGCCUCUUGUUGACAGGAUUGUCGAAAGGAUUACUUGUUAGACAACAAAGCUACUCACUUAUGCAGGGAGGCUGCAACUUAUAAAAGCAGUGAUCUUUGGUAUACUAACAUAUUGGGCACAAAUCUUUGUGCUCCCCAAGAGAAUCCUAAAACUUGUUGAAAAUUCCUGUAGAACCUUUCUAUGGACAGGUUCAGUUGCGAUCUCCAAAAGGGCUCUCGUGUCUUGGGAAAAUGUGUGUCAAUCCAGAGCAGCAGGGGGACUAAAUGUACUGAAUAUGUUCAGGUGGAAUAAGGCUGCAGUAAUGAAACAACUUUGGGCUCUGGCUAACAAAAAGGACUGCUUGUGGGUGAAAUGGGUUCGCAUAUUCUAUAUGAAGCAGGAAUCGUUGGACAACUUUGAGAUACCAAAGAAUGCAACGUGGGUUGUCAGAAAGAUUAUCGAGUCCAGAAAGAUGUUCCUCAAUAUCAAUUCUUUACAUGGUGAAGUUGUAGGACGACUACGCACAGCGGUAAGUGGGAACAAGUUCUUAAUCAAGAAAAUGUACACCUCCCUAACUCCAACACUCCCAAAAAUGCACUGGACGAGUCACAACAGCUGGCUAUCCACCCCAACACAUUCUUUUUAUGGUUGGCUUUGCACAAGAGACUGCCUACAAUAGAAAGACUGAUGAAAUUUGGUAUAGUGGUACCCCCUACCUGCGUAUUUUGUCAGGCUGCAGACGAGACAAGAGAGCACUUAUUCUUUGAAUGUAGUAUCACGCAACAGCUUUGACAACGACUUCUACAGUGGAUUGGGGUGCACAAACCCAUUGGUCCCUGGCAAACGGAGGUAAACUGGGUAGUUAACCUAGCAAAGAGGAGGACGGGCAUGGGUAGUCUCACCAGUUGUAUUUUUGCAGUGGUGAUACAUGUGAUUUGGAGAGAACGGAAUAUGCAAAGAUUCCAGCAAGGGCGCUAUGAGCAUAACAGGGUGUGUAGAGAAGUAGCUCUUUUUCUGCAUACCGGAGGCAGUUAACUACAGCAAUGGAAGGCCAUUCUACAGCAGCUGAACACGUAUCCAUGACUUGAAGCUAGAGCUAAACGGCGACAGGCGUGAUAGUUUUUUUUCAUAGUGUUUUGCUAAGCCUUAUGUAUUCUUUAGUAUCUAGCAAAGUUUAGUUUUAUCUACUAGUUGAGAGACAGGAGGUCUGCUCCUGAUCAGGAGGUCUGCUCUUGACUAAGGAUUGUAUGCACAUUUUGGUAUUAAAUAAAAUUUGUUUAUUUACCAAAGAAAAAGUGAAAGCUCUUCCAGGGAAGAUUAGUGGCCCUUGGGGGAAGAUUUGGAAGAACAAGGUACCAGUCAAGGUUAGAUGUUUUUCAUGGCUAGUCGCUAGAAGGGCCUGUCUUACCCAUGAAAAGCUCCAAAGAAGAGGUUUCCAUAUAGCAUCUUGGUGCUCCCUUUGUAAUGAAACAAAUGAGACAAAUAAUCCUUUGUUUCUACAUUGCAAAAUAACUUCCCAGUUGUGGGCAUUAUUCUUGGACUUGACGCAAACUAGAUGGACCAUGCCAGAACAUACUGUUGACCUUCUAAGCUGCUGGACUAGGAGAAGAGUGAGUAAAAGUCAGAAGAAGUGGUGGAGUAUGAUCCCCCCAGCAUAUGAUGGACAAUUUGGAAAGAAAGAAACAAGAGAUGCUUUGAGAAUACUGCUGAAUCAGUUCAGAAAAUUAAAUGGAACUGCAUGAGGACUUUCUUUUUUUGGUGUAAUGUAAAGAGGAGGGCAUAGAGGAUGCUUGAUAAAAUCUUUCUAGGUUUUUUGGUGCAACAAGUUUUUGCUCUGGCUUUGAGCAAGCUGUAAAUCUGUUUUGAUGGUAGCCUGCAUCUCCUUAAUGCUGAAGAAUACAACACUACCUUUAUCCAAAAAAGAAAAAAAUUCAUCAUGAUGUACUUCCAUGGACCCUCUCAUUUGCCGCCAAUAGAUAGGAUUGACUGCUUGUCAGCACCUGCUUGUCAGCACCUGUUUUUUUAAGAGUUAUAUUAGUUUGUUUUCUUAUUCUCUGUUUUAUUGAUCCAGAUAAAUUAAUCAGGAAUUUUUUAGUUCAACAGUCUGCUGUUUGUGACUAUAACUACUAGAAUAUAGAGCUUUUGCUUAGAAGUCUGCUUCAGAAGUCACUUCCAUUUAGAGCCUUAGUUGUGAGAUCCUGACUUAGGUCCUGCUGAUGCAAUUUUGUCUUAUACUGCCAUCUAAGUGCAGCGGCUUCCUUAUAAUUUUUUUGUAUGUAGCUAUUAUGUAGGUACGAGCGUAAGUCAGUCCUCAGAUUCUUGGAGACUUCCGAAAGCUAUAGGGUGGAACACUGCUUGCAUAUAUGCCAAGAGUAUGGAGUUAUCGAUGCAGCUGCUUUCUUGUUAGAAAGGGUUGGUGACAUCGGAAGUGCCCUUCUGCUUCUUAUAUCUUCACUCAAUGAAAAAUUCAUCCUGCUUGAUACUGCUGUUGAAAGUGAACGUUGUGAUACGGCUCUGGAACAUUUCAAAGCUAUUUUAAGCAAUAAAGAGGUCAUUGACAUACUAGAGAUUUUGCGCACUUGUAUUGGACUGUGCCAGAGGAAUA